AGUCCGUCCCUCUGAAGCUCCUCUGUGUGGGGAACAUGACAGCCAGACCACAGCUCAGAGGAUCCAAAAGAGACCAGGACCUGGACCUGAUCCUGGACCUGAACGCCGCUGUGUGAACAUGGAGCGUAUACGGUCUACGAGUCCUCCUCUAGACUUCAAAGAUGGUCCCUCUGUUGAUGCAAGGUCACAACAGCAGAGAGGAAAGUCUCCUGAACCCACAUGUGUGUCCAUGAAGAGUAAUC